ensembl:misc_RNA 7SK 7SK RNA
GGCUGUAAAAGCAGUCUGACUGCUACAUCUAUCACCUGGCUGAUCGCCAGGGUUGUUUUGGCUGAUCUGACUGACUAGGCAGGUGUCCCCUUCCUCUCUCACUGAUCUAUGUUCACCCUUCCUCAAACAGUUUGUUCUAUGGAAGAAAACCACCUUCUGUGAAUAGAGAUUGACCUGUCUGUAAGUAGCUGCAUUCUCCUGAUAUGAACUCCAAACAGAUUCUCAAAGUCCAAAAGAUACUAUAAUAAAGGAUUUUGAGUGAGUGGAAGGGUUGGGAAUUAGGUUCAGAUUCCUGUGACUAAACAGUUGCAAGAGGAUCAGUAUUUCUAUUA